AUACAAACUAUUUUCUCCUGUCAUCAGGUCACCAACUUCCUUGACCUUCCGUCACUGGGCAGGCGUCAGCCCUCAUACAUGGUCUUACGACUUUGCGGAGACCUUUUACCUUUUUUCAUGUCCGAUCUCGCAUUCUCGAAGCUUCUUGUUCAUAUCUCUCAUCAAAAGGUGCUAUUCGAUAAUGUCUGUCUAGCAGACCCCCUGCUAACCCGAGCGAACAUUCAAAUAUCUGUCCUACAUUCAUUCGUGAAGGUACUCCUAAUGGGUUGAAAACCAUAUCAACAUGUCUUCCAUCUUGCAGACAAGGCAUAUCUUGUCUAGGCAAAAUUUUGGAAAUGAUACCUUUACUUNCGUGUCUUUCAGUUACUUUGUCGCCUACUUUAAUUUCGCGUUUCUGUGAAAUAUAUAUCUAAUCUACACUAAGAAACAAUAAUAUUGUUAUUGGUUGUUUGUCAACUCCAGUCCAAAUAUCUAUAGAAUAGAUUAUUGCUAGGAUUUUAAUCCAUAUAGAUAUAGAAUUCAACUUAAUUUAUUGAUCAUUACAUAUAAUUCAAUUAAGAUAUUGUAUGAAAGUAUGAUUUCUUCUAUUCUCCUUUGAGAAUUGGAGGAUUUUUGAUUGGGUGGGUGCAAAGAACAG
rnacentral:lncRNA from 1 species